rnacentral:rRNA from 1 species
ACGCUCGACACCUACGAGAGGCAGCAGUGGGGAAUAUUGCACAAUGGGGGAAACCCUGAUGCAGCGACGCCGCGUCCGAGCGAAGAAGUAUUUCGGUAUGUAAAGCUCUAUCAGCAGGGAAGAAGAAAGACGGUACCUGACUAAGAAGCCCCGGCUAACUACGUGCCAACNGCCGCGGUAAUCUGAGCGGCUGGCGAAGGC